GACCCUAUAGCUCAGGGCUGAGAGCACUGGCCUUAUAAGCCAGGGGUUCACAGAAUCAUAACAAAGUAGGGCUGGAAGGGACCUCCAGAGGUCAAUUAGUCCAACACCUUGCCUGAGGUAGGAUCA
rnacentral:tRNA from 1 species